rnacentral:rRNA from 1 species
UACGUAGGGGGCAAGCGUUAUCCGGAUUUACUGGGUGUAAAGGGAGCGUAGACGGUUAUGCAAGUCAGAAGUGAAAGCCCAAAGCUCAACUUCGGGGCUGCUUUUGAAACUGUGUAACUAGAGUGCAGGAGGGGUAAGCGGAAUUCCUAGUGUAGCGAUGAAAUGCGUAGAUAUUAGGAGGAACACCGGCGGCGAAGGCGGCUUACUGGACUGUAACUGACACUGAGGCACGAAAGCGUGGGGAGCAAACAGG